rnacentral:rRNA from 1 species
UACGUAGGUGACCAGCGUUGUCCGGAUUUACUGGGCGUAAAGAGCGCGCAGGCGGUCGUUCAAGUCGAGUGUGAAAGCCCCCGGCUCAACUGGGGAGGGUCAUUCGAUACUGAUCGACUGGAAGGCAGGAGAGGGAAGCGGAAUUCCCGGUGUAGUGGUGAAAUGCGCAGAUAUCAGGAGGAACACCAAUAGCGAAGGCAGCUCGCUGGGCUGAUACUGACGCUGAGGCGCGAAAGCCAGGGGAGCAAACGGG